AUUUUGGGCUCUCAUUCUUGUUUGCUCCAUCUUUCCAAUAGCCAUUACCAAUGCACAAACACCAGCAGCCUCACCUUCUAAUUUACCAACCACUACACCUCCCCCAACAACCGCAGCAGCACCUCCACCAACCACCACAGCACCUCCACCCACAACCACACCUCCACCUACAACCACAGCACCUCCACCUAUGACCACCCCUCCACCUUCAACAACACCUACAGCACCAACACAGCCACCAGUAAGUGCGGCAACACCUCCGCCUGCAACAACUCCUGUAUCAUCUCCUAAAGUUGCACCGGCUACAAGCCCAUCAGUUCCACCACCAC
rnacentral:lncRNA from 1 species